AGGUCAGAAGUUCUCCAUCCGUGCAUCAGCAGGGCUCCAGGGGAGGAUCCCUUAAAUCCUUGGCUCUCCUUGGCUUGUGGCUGCACCCUGCCUCCGCUCUCUGCCCCGUUUUCUUCCCUCUGUGUGUUUCUGUGUGUGUCCUAGUCCCUGCCAUGGUUUGCAGAACGGUUUGUAACCCCAGAGACAUCCUGGAAUUUGGUCCCUGCUGUAAAGACAUCAGUAGGCGCGAGGACCUUAAAGAGUUGAAGCCCAGCAGGCGGCGGUUGGCAGUCCUAGCUCUCGCGAGAUGGGUUUAUUCCCGCGAAAACAGGAGGUGUUAUAAAAGGAAGAUGGAGCGGGAGGUCUGGCUUCGCACUGUCCGCCGGCCGUUGUAACUCUGCUGGUACCAGCGCCACAUCUUGGACCUCUGGCUGCCGGCGGGAUGAAGUAAGACACUGUGUGCUACCUUGAACAAGAAGAUGAAAACAUCAAACACAAACCAUGGAGGCAGUGUGGGUCAUUGCUGGAGUCGACCUGACCACAGAUGCCAAAGCUUGCCACCAGGUGAGACAAAUGCACCUUACCCACCAGCAAUCACCGAAGUCCUGUGCCACACCAGACAGGCAUCCCUGAGACAAGCAGAAGGAGCCCUGUCCUCUGGCGGUGCUAGGUUAGGGAGGAGAACACACGAGGACAGUCUCUUCUGAGAGGAGCUAGCAACACAAAGAAGGUUCCUGAGGAGGUGUGCAAAGGUCAAGUGAGCCAUCUGUCCCAGGGCUCCCUGCUGACUCCACUGUCCACGGAGUGCUAGGUUUGCCAUGAUCAACCUCCCGAAUGGAAAAGUAAUAAGAAAUAAGGCAUUAAACAUUUGAUUCUUUUAUUUCCAUAUGCAAUGUAAUGUUUAGGCACGCUGCUUGGGAUGCUAUUUCUAAAAAAAUUGUUGGCCAUUUUCAGAAUAUCAUUUUGGUUUUAAAUACUGGUCAGGAAAAACAAAUGAUGUAAAAAUACGUGAAUAAUUUUCUAUUACAGAAAUGAAAAACUGAUUUGCAUCUAAAAGUGCAAGAGGUGAAGUAAUUUAACCCUUUCACCAGAUGAUAGGGCAAUAUACAAUAUAUUGCUUCAGCUGUUUGAGAAGGCUGUGAUGUAUUUUUAUAUUGACAUAGAAAAUUAUAAAUUACAUUGAAUUAGUAUCCAUAAUCACUAUAUAUAUACACAAACCAGUUCUAAAAAAAAUACACUGGUUUAGAAUUUACGAGUGAAAAUCUCACAAGGUACAGUAAAACAAUUAACAUGCUUCGGUGCCAGAUUUUGAUUUCUACUUUUAAAAAAUACUAGCCUGUAAAAUGAACGCACUCUAAUUCCAUUAGCAGCACGAGCAUUUUUCCACUGACUUGCCUAAUAUCAUUCAGGUAUGUUAAAUAUGCAGAUUGCUCUGAAAUGUUCAUUGGUGAUGCUUGUUAACAAGGUAAAUUUUGGUGAAUGGGUUAAAAGGCAGAUGAAACUACCAAAACAAACAAA